AUUGCACUUGAUUCUCUUGUGCAGGGCGUGUGUGCAUUGAUCCAGGAGCGGCUGUCCACCACGGGCCAGGAGGCGAUCAAGCAGCGCAGCAAGCAGGGUACGCCUUAUCCAUUGAAAGAGAGCAGCCUAGGCUUCGACACUGGAGACCCUGUGCUGAACCAAGCGGCCAAGGUGCUGCGGCUGCUCUACGUGCAGGACCUGCGUGACCUGCAGACUCGCAUCAACGAAGCCAUUGUGGCUGUGCAGACCAUCACGGCAAACCCAAAGACAGACACCCGGCUGGGAAAAGUGGGGCGCUAGACAAUGCAUCCACUGCCACUGCUAUGCUCCAGUGCCUGCUCCCUCUCUCAAAUGGACACGUCUGUGUGCGUGCAUGUGCAUUUGUACGAACUGUCUGCUCGUCCUGUUCAGUGUUCUGCAUAAAGCUGCCUAGCAGAU
rnacentral:lncRNA from 1 species